rnacentral:rRNA from 1 species
UACGGAGGUGGCAAGCGUUGCUCGGAAUCACUGGGCGUAAAGGGCGCGUAGGCGGGGUGGCAAGUCGGGUGUGAAAUCCCUCGGCCCAACCGAGGAACUGCGCCCGAGACUGCUUCUCUUGAGUCCCGGAGAGGAAGAUGGAAUUCCCGGUGUAGCGGUGAAAUGUGUAGAGAUCGGGAGGAACACCUGUGGCGAAAGCGGCGCACUGGACCACAUCUGACGCUGAGGCGCGAAAGCUAGGGGAGCAAACAGG